UUCCUGAUAGCUUAGUCAGUAAAGAAUCUGCCUGCAGUGCAGGAGACCGGGGUUCAAUCCCUGGGUUGGAAA
rnacentral:tRNA from 1 species